GACAGAGGGUGCAAACGUUGUUCGGAAUUACUGGGCGUAAAGCGCGUGUAGGCUGCUCGGAAAGUCGGAUGUGAAAGCCCUGGGCUCAACCCAGGAAGAGCAUUCGAAACUCCCGAGCUUGAGUCCCGGAGAGGAAGGCGGAAUUCUCGGUGUAGAGGUGAAAUUCGUAGAUAUCGAGAGGAACACCUGUGGCGAAGGCGGCCUUCUGGACGGUGACUGACGCUGAGACGCGAAAGCGUGGGGAGCAAACAGG
rnacentral:rRNA from 1 species